UACGGGGGGGGCGAGCGUUGUUCGGAAUUACUGGGCGUAAAGGGUUCGUAGGUGGCCUGCUAAGUCAGACGUGAAAUCCCUCAGCUUAACUGGGGAACUGCGUCUGAAACUGGCGGGCUUGAGUGCAGGAGAGGAACGCGGAAUUCCAGGUGUAGCGGUGAAAUGCGUAGAUAUCUGGAGGAACACCGGUGAGCAGGACGGCGGCUGUUCGUGACUGCUACUGACACUGAGGAACGAAAGCCAGGGGAGCAAACGGG
rnacentral:rRNA from 1 species